GGCCGCAUGGCGCAACGGUAGCGCGUCAGAUUCCAGUGUUAAAUUGGAGAGUCCUGAAGGCUUCCUGUUCGAAUCAGGAUGUGGUCA